UACGUAGGGUCCGAGCGUUGUCCGGAAUUACUGGGCGUAAAGAGCUCGUAGGUGGUUUGUCACGUUGUUCGUGAAAACUCACAGCUUAACUGUGGGCGUGCGGGCGAUACGGGCAGACUAGAGUACUGCAGGGGAGACUGGAAUUCCUGGUGUAGCGGUGGAAUGCGCAGAUAUCAGGAGGAACACCGGUGGCGAAGGCGGGUCUCUGGGCCGAUACUGACGCUGAGGAGCGAAAGCGUGGGGGAGCGAACAGG
rnacentral:rRNA from 1 species